AUGGCCUAAGAUAUUCUUUGUCAUGCCCAAGGCUACUAUCUAGAAAAAUCACAACCUAGGGAACGAGCUUGGAAAAAUUAGCAGGGAAAUAAGACCCUAUUGAGCUUGACUCUAGUCCACCUUUGUGAAAUGAAUUGAGAGGUGUAGAAUAAGUGGGAGUUGUUUUGUUUUUUCCCCAAGGUGUAGGAUAGUCGGUGACGGAGUGUGUUGUUAAGGCACUCUAUGAUUUUAAAGUCACCAGUUCGAAACCGAUGGGGACAAAAAAUCCAGCCAUGUUAAGGGUUGGUGUGGCUCAAGCCGAGUGCGAUCCUCGGGUGAUUUUGAUGGAUUAGAUGCCCCUGAGUCAUGGUUUCUUAGCCACAAGUUAUUCCCACAUGUCACAGAAAAACUAACAAAAAAAAAAAGUGGGAGUUGUUUUCAACGCCAGUUAAAUACCACUACUUUUAACAUUAUUUUACUUAUUUCAUGGGGCAGAGACGAGGCAUUACACAUAUGUUAAAAGAUAAUGCACAUUUCCUCAAAGUGUUUUCAUUGAUGGAAAUGGUCGAAAGCUCAUUCUUUACACAGUUGAUGGCAAUGAUUUUAUGAAACCAAAGAGGAUCAUUGCUUUUAAGGAUGAAGAAAGUUCCUAUAACAAUCCCUAUGUUUUUAGCCAACACCUCCUUACAAGUAUCUAUGUUAUGGUUCCUCCUUGUAAAUUGGUGACUUGAGUCCUCAUGGACUUAGAGAGUGGGUGGAUUAUGAUGUCAAAUUCUUUUUCCCUUGAUAGCAUUUCAUUUUCCAUUAUGUCAGUGGCGUGCACAUUAAAAUAUGACACAUUAAAAUGGACACCAUAUUGAAAUCAUGAACCAUAUAUUCCCUAUUUAGGGCAUGUGUGAUGGAAAACUAAGGGACCACACAUAUCCAUGAGAUUUUAGAGACAAAUUU
rnacentral:ncRNA from 1 species